AGAGCGAGCAAACUGUGUGAAUUAAUGUGAACUGCAACCUGCCAUGAACAUCGACAACUUGAUUGCACAUUGCGGCCAUGGGUUAGCCUGUGGCCACGCCUGUCCGAGAGUCG
rnacentral:rRNA from 1 species